AGGAUAAUAGUUAAAUAUAACAUUUGAUUUGCAUUCAAAAAUUAUUGAUAUUUUCAAUUUAUCUUA
rnacentral:tRNA from 1 species